UCACUUUUUGUGCUCAACUUGUAAAUGACAAAAGAAGCCCACGGCAAAUAAUUCUUAGCCUCAAGUUCUUCCUUCCUGACUCCCAUUUUUAUGUAAUCGAUAAGCUCUACCCACCUUCUUCUCUACUCACGCCUAAUGACCAGCAAAUGAAAUUAACACGAACAUACAUAUAAUAUAUUAUCUGAGGCAAAGCAUAAACUUUCAUAUUCUGUAAUUACCCUGAAGAACUGGAGGUGCCGAUUGGCCAUGGAUAAUCAAAGUACGACGACAAGCAGUUAGCAUAAUGUAUAGUUCUACAGUGGAAAACGACAAUGUGCCUAACAAAGAGGAAGUGAAAAUUAUUACAGAAAAUCGACGUUAUGGAAAUAAUGACAGGGGAUUGCGGCCCUAAAACAGAAGAUAAUUUAUUUGGUGUUAUGAUCGUUUCAAUAACUGAGGACCAGUCGAGAAAGGCCAAAAGAACGAUAUUUUAAAAACUCAAGUUGCCUUAAAGUAAUAAAAGUAUCCGACU